rnacentral:rRNA from 1 species
UACGUAGGUGGCAAGCGUUGUCCGGAUUUACUGGGCGUAAAGAGCGCGCAGGCGGUCGUUCAAGUCGCGUGUGAAAGCCCCCGGCUCAACUGGGGAGGGUCACGCGAUACUGAUCGACUCGAAGGCAGGAGAGGGUAGUGGAAUUCCCGGUGUAGUGGUGAAAUGCGUAGAUAUCGGAAGGAACGCCGGUGGCGAAAGCGAUGUGCUGGACCCUUUCUGACGCUGAGGCGCGAAAGCCAGGGGAGCAAACGGG